rnacentral:rRNA from 1 species
AGGUGGGGGAUGACGUCAAAUCAUCAUGCCCCUUAUGACCUGGGCGUACACACGUGCUACAAUGGCUGGUACAACGAGUCGCGAGUCGGUGACGGCAAGCUAAUCUCUUAAAGCCAGUCUCAGUUCGGAUUGUAGGCUGCAACUCGCCUACAUGAAGUCGGAAUCGCUAGUAAUCGCGGAUCAGCACGCCGCGGUGAAUACGUUCCCGGGCCUUGUACACACCGCCCCGUCACACCACGAGAGUUUGUAACACCCGAAGUCGGUGAGGUAACCCAUUUGGAGCCAGCCGCCUAACGGUCAUAAGGGGGCAUGAUGAUUUGACGUCAUCCCCACCU